CUGGUGUUCACUUGUGAUGUUUUUUAAAAGACUCAAAAGAUGCACAUUUUUCAAUCAGGCUUUUAACUGAUUUCUUAAAUUAUUUUUAUGCUCUUACCUAUCUUAAACUUUAACCCUUAAGUGUUCUUGGGGAUAUUUCCAGCCAACCUGUUUAUUUAACAAGCCACGUUUUGGCUUUCGGAACAUCCACAAAGUAAAUAAUUUAAGAACACUUAAGGGUUGCCUUUUGUCUCUAUUUAACGAUCACUUAUUAACUUUAUUUUAUGAGCAAAAGAGUAAUUUAAUUAAUACCUUUUUUAUAACCUAUUAUAAUCCCUCAGUUUUCAGCACCAGUGUUUCCCCCAUGGGGACCUUCCACACUGGGACUAGUUCUGGUCUACCAACACCGGUGCAGUCCCAUAGAUAGCUCCAGCCUGGGUGGCUGGAGGGCUCUGCACCCCUGUGUGGAGCCUCCUGUCUGCCCGGGCCAGGGUGGUCACUGUGGCGGCACUCCCUAUGGUCGUGGGCGAUGACCCCUCUCAGUCUGGAUGGCCCCCCAAAAGUGACUUUCUUUGGCUCAGGGACGUCAGCCAAGAAGCAGUGAAAGAGGACUGCAGUAAUCACAUGAUGCAGAUCAACGUCAUCCAUCCCAAUGUGGCACAGGAAAACCAAGAUCCUGUGUAUGUGUCAGUCAUCAUCAAGUGUGACAAACGCUUGCCUCCUGCUCAUGGGUGUCAUCUAUGCUGUAAACUUAAGUUACCCACUUAAACUGAAAUAUACGUUUGAAGUAUUUCAGAAGCCGUUUCUUGAGCUUGACGUCAUUACAAUGUCACCAAAGGUCCAGUUUCUCCACAAUAAACUUUUAGCGUGAGUGUUCCAGUGCUAUUUGUGCUUUUGUCCAGCACAAACAAUCUCUUUACUUUUGUCAUUUUUCUGACUGAAAUUUCAAGUUUUGCUUAGUUUUUAAGUUAUUUCUGUCCUGAACAUCCUGAGAAUGUCUACAAAGGUAGCCAUUGCAGUUUAUGUAUGCAUUCUUUGCUGUUCUGAAAAGUCAACUGUAACACUGUAUUCGUUUGUAUGCUGGAAUAUCAGUCCUAAAGUCAGUUGGUGCUUUGUCAUUCCGCAUUGAAUUUUUCAAAUCCUAAACGGCUUUACUUUUGAGCUUUUGUGUGUGUGUGUGUGUGUACACUGUUUUCAAAUUUGCUAGCAGGAAGUUCUGUGUGGUUAUGUUAUGUAUUUUAAAUACAUCUAUGCCAUUUCAAAUGUGAAAUAAACGUGUAUUUCAAACAUCCCUUAAGCUGCAAAUAUUUGUUUCUGG
ensembl:lncRNA